UGCAGGCAUGCGCGAGGGAUAAACUCAAGGUCGGUUAAUAGCCGGCAGCACGCUUCGACGUGUGGGUUCCUUGAGUCUCGGGGCCUGUUUUUUU
rnacentral:sRNA from 12 species